rnacentral:rRNA from 1 species
UGGGCAACCUGCCCCUGACACUGGGAUAACCCCGGGAAACCGGAGCUAAUACCGGAUACUCCGGCUGGAUCGCAUGGUCCGGCCGGGAAAGGUCCGCCGGAGAGGGAUGGGCCCGCGGCCUAUCAGCUUGUUGGCGAGGUAACGGCCCACCAAGGCGACGAUCUGUAGCUGGUCUGAGAGGACGAUCAGCCACACUGGGACUGAGACACGGCCCAGACUCCUACGGGAGGCA